AUGGCCAAGUCCAAGAACUACACCACACACAACCAGUCCUGCAAAUGGCACAGAAAUGGCAUCAAGAAACCCAGGUCACAAAGAUACGAAUCUCUUAAGGGGCUUGACCCCAAGUUCCUAAGGAACAUGCGCUUUGCCAAGAAGGACAACAAAAAAGGCCUGAAGAAGAUGCAGGUUAACAAUGCAAAGGCAAUGAGUGCAUGCGCAGAGGCCAUCAAGGCCCUGGUGAAGCCUCAGGCCAUCAAGCCCAAGAUGCCAAAGGGUCCCAGCCGCAAACUCAGCCGCCUGGCUUUCAUCGCUCACCCCAAGCUUGGGAAGCAGAUUCAAAGCUACAUGGCCAAGGGUUAGAGACUCUGCCUAAGGUUCAAAUCAAGGCAGGGGUCAAAGCUCCAGCUAAGGCCCAGGCCCAGGCUCCCAAAGAUGCCCUGGCCUCUGUGAAG
rnacentral:lncRNA from 1 species